AACGUAGGUGGCGAGCGUUAUCCGGAUUUACUGGGCGUAAAGGGUGUGCAGGCGGGAGGUCAAGUGGUGUAUGAAAGGGGGUCGCUCAACGACCCUAGGUUAUGCCAGACUGGUCUUCUGGAGGGCGAGAGAGGGGCGUGGAAUUCCGGGUGUAGUGGUGAAAUGCGUAGAGAUCCGGAGGAACCCCAGAGGCGAAGGCGGCGCCCUGGCUCGUACCUGACGCUGAGACACGACAGCAUGGGGAGCGAACGGG
rnacentral:rRNA from 1 species